AGGAAACCCACUUGGGAUUAGGUGCCUAUAAGAUCACCAUAGGCACGUCUCCCCUAUGGCCCCCUAUCCUAUAACUCACUUCAACAAUCAGGAGGUGAUGCUCAAGUGCCUGUUGAGCACUGAACAUUUCUGCCUAAAGAGAGGCUAGUUUCAAGCCAGCAAGUACAUUUCCAGGGAAAAAACAUGUUUAUUAAUGUAUCCACUGUGCUGUGGCCUCUUCUGAAGCUUGUUGCUGAGCUUUUCAAGAUCUGUAAACAUCCAGAUGUCUCCCAUCUUGACCCAGAGAGCUUCCUGAGAAGCUUUCCUAGCUCGCACUUUUGUGGUUCGUAUCUCUGACAUGAAACAUCUUUCACAAUGGAAAAGAAAAUCCCUUCAUGUGACCAUCAGGUCAACACUCUGUGGAUCAUUAGGCAGCCCAGCAUAGGAGCACUGUUUUGAGGAACACAGUGGAGAGCACAGUAAUGGACACUUCUGAUCUGGCAUAUCCUAAAUACUGAAUACUUGGAUAAUUUAUGCUUAUGCAUACAGUCCUUGGUGAGAGAACAAAACAAGAUCUGAUAAUGUUUCUCUUAAGCAAGCCUCAACAAAAGCUUGUUUGACAUGCAACAAAGUUGCUGUUUAUUCUUCUUUUUUUGGAGGCUUCAUAUGAAUUUUUGUAGUCUUGGGUUAUUGCCCUGGGAAAUGGAAUAUAAUUUGAGUGACUGAACGCACUGUCUUUAUUUUGACUGUGAGAAGGGUUGGGUCUAAAAAACAAAGAAGCUUCCAUGCAAGCAGCCCAGACAAGGGUAGCCUUUUCCAUCCAAGCAAAUUGUGCAGCAGGAACGAGAUCUACAAACAACAAUUAAAAACCCUGAUGAUGACUGCAAGCUGUACAUUCUUAUUGUGCUGAUGGUUUGUGUGCUCCUUUAGUCUUUUCACGUUUUCUCAGACAGCAAGAAAUGCUGGUCUGUAGCAGAAAGGUCACACAAGUGAAGAUGAGAAAGAUACUGGAGAGCUUCAGAGGGGGUGAACCGUCAGAGCAACCUAUAUGGAAGAGCAAAAGGUCUGUGAAAGAUAACUGAGGCCACUGCACAUGAAUUCCUCCACUGGAGGGGUGUGACAGAGACAGAGAGAGAGCUCUGUAUGUGUUGCAGUCACUUUGAGAGAGUUUCCCAGUUUUCAUCCCCCAGCUGCAUAUCAAGACUGGAAGACGCAGGACCCCAGUAGACCAAGCAUCUCCAGCAAUCUCAUGGCUGCAGAUACUUCUUGGACUGAUGGCUGAUAUGAACAAAUAUUUAGGAGAUUAAAAAACCUCUCUGUGUAUAAACUUGGAGUUCAGUGAGGUAAAUGGGGAAGUUGGAAUUCACAAACAUCACUGCUAGUCCCAUGAACAGUUGAAGUCAACAGGUCUGAAACUCUCCUCAGUGUGUAUGAAACCGACUGUGCAAACACUAAAUAGUCACUUAAAAUGACAUUUGCAACUUAGAGGUAAGAAUACUUACAGAAAUUAUUCCAUUUGAGCAAAUUCGCCUUUCCCAGAAAGACCCUUCUGAGUCACUUGAAACUUCAUAUCUGACAAGGGAGAGGGAAAACCAGCUAAGAGCAGCCUGAAGCAACCAAGAUCGCUUGGUCAAGUGCAAGAUCUGGGUUGUGACAACAAAAGGGGCUGUUACGUGGCAACUGAUGAGAAGCAGGAGCGUGUUUAAGCAGCACUAAAGUAAACAGGAGCAUGACCUCUGUUCAAUCCUGAUGUGUUGAAGCAACUUCUUGAUAACUUGCAUCUCAUCUGCUUCACAACUAACGCCAUAAUCUAUCUAGGAGAGGAGAGAAGAGGUUACUCCAGAAAGAUUUGCCCUUACUCAGAGACACAUAAUGUUGGCAAGUACAGCAUUUUCCUUUGUCACUUGUUCCAGUAAGUCUCACAGCUGAAAAUAUCUGUCACUGUUUCUGAUUUGAUGAUUCAAAUUCACUUGGAUUUAACCUUCAGAUACUGACUCUUUUUUUUUUUUU